GAAACAAGCCCGGUGAUUCAGUUACCUCCACCUGGUCUCUCCCGUGACACGCGCAGAUUAUGGGGAUUAUGAUUUCUAGAAGCAGAAAUGAGUUGGCCAGACCCUGUUGGAGGUGGAAACAAAACCUGUUUUAGAGUGAACCAAAGCACCUCCCGAAGAAAAUUGACAGUAAAUUCAUAAAAGAACAUGGACAAAUACCUAGAAGAGGAGAGAGGAUCCAAGAUGAGGAAAUCUAAGAAUACUGGCUGAAAAUUUGAGCACAAGAGAGGGGAGAGCAAAUAUAUUUGAGAGGAAGAAUAUAUUGAGCCAGUCUCAAAAUGGGGGAUGGAAGAUGGGGGCAGACAUUAAAAUUCCUACCGAGGAAGAACAUUUAUGGGCAUUAUUCUCUUAACUGAAACGGCAGUC